UAUUAAAAUUGUUGCAGUUAAAAAGCUCGUAGUUGAAGUUCUGCUGAAAGUAACCGGUCUGCUUUUAAUAAAAGUGGUAUCUUGGUAUGUAUUUAGCAAUGAUGUCCUUUGAAGUGUUUUUUACUUUAUUGUAAUAAAGCAUAUUCAGGACUUUUACUUUGAGAAAAUUAGAGUGUUUCUAGCAGGCUGACGCUUUGAAUACUGCAGCAUGGAAUAAUAAGAUAGGAUUUUAGUUCUACAUUAUUGGUUUUAAGAGCUAAAUUAAUGAUUGAUAGGGACAGUUGGGGGCAUUUGUAUUUAACUGUCAGAGGUGAAAUUCUUAGAUUUGUUAAAGACAAACUACUGCGAAAGCAUUUGCCAAAGAUGUUUUCAUUAAUCAAGAACGAAAGUUAGGGGAUCGAA
rnacentral:rRNA from 1 species